CAAUAGCGUAUAUUAAAGUUGUUGCAGUUAAAAAGCUCGUAGUUGGAUUUCUGAUCGAGACAUCAGGCCGGGUCCGAGAGGAUCAUGUACUUUGAUUUUGUUUUGAUCAUCCUUGGGGAGAGCAUUUCUGGCAUUCAGUUGUCGGGAUUGGGAUCCUCAUCGUUUACUGUGAAAAAAUUAGAGUGUUCAAAGCAGGCCUCGGCCUCUGAAUACAUUAGCAUGGAAUAAUAAGAUAGGACUUUGGUGGUCUAUUUUGUUGGUUUGCACGCCAAAGUAAUGAUUAAUAGGGAUAGUUGGGGGUAUUCGUAUUCAAUUGUCAGAGGUGAAAUUCUUGGAUUUAUGGAAGACGAACUACUGCGAAAGCAUUUACCAAGGAUGUUUUCAUUAA
rnacentral:rRNA from 1 species